UACGAAGGGGGCUAGCGUUGCUCGGAAUGACUGGGCGUAAAGGGCGCGUAGGCGGCCCUGCAAGUCAAAGGUGAAAUCCCUCGGCUCAACUGAGGAACUGCCUUUGAAACUGCGGGGCUUGAGGCCGGGAGGGGGUAGCGGAAUUCCCAGUGUAGCGGUGAAAUGCGUAGAUAUUGGGAGGAACACCAGUGGCGAAGGCGGCUACCUGGACCGGUACUGACGCUGAGGUGCGAAAGCGUGGGGAGCAAACAGG
rnacentral:rRNA from 1 species